UGGGGGAUAUUGCACAAUGGGCGAAAGCCUGAUGCAGCGACGCCGCGUGGGGGAUGAAGGCUUUCGGGUUGUAAACCUCUUUCGCUAUCGAACAAGGCCCGCUUAGGGUGGGUUGAGGGUAGGUGGAGAAGAAGCGCCGGCUAACUACGUGCCAGCAGCCGCGGUAAUACGUAGGGCGCGAGCGUUGUCCGGAAUUAUUGGGCGUAAAGGGCUUGUAGGCGGCUUGUUGCGCCUGCUGUGAAAACGCGGGGCUUAACUUCGCGCGUGCAGUGGGUACGGGCAGGCUUGAGUGUGGUAGUGGUGACGGGAAUUCCAGGUGUAGCGGUGGAAUGCGCAGAUAUCUGGAGGAACACCGAUGGCGAAGGCAGGGCACUGGGCCAUUACUGACGCUGAGGAGCGAAAGCAUGGGUAGCGAACAGG
rnacentral:rRNA from 1 species